AUGCACGCUGGCGGCGUGCCUAAUACCUGCAAGUCGAGCGAACAGACGAGGAGCUUGCUCCUCUGACGUUAGCGGCGGACGGGUGAGUAACACGUGGAUAACCUACCUAUAAGACUGGGAUAACUUCGGGAAACCGGAGCUAAUACCGGAUAAUAUAUUGAACCGCAUGGUUCAAUAGUGAAAGACGGUUUUGCUAUCACUUAUAGAUGGAUCCGCGCCGCAUUAGCUAGUUGGUAAGGUAACGGCUUACCAAGGCAACGAUGCGUAGCCGACCUGAGAGGGUGAUCGGCCACACUGGAACUGAGACACGGUCCAGACUCCUACGGGAGGCAGCAGUAGGGAAUCUUCCGCAAUGGGCGAAAGCCUGACGGAGCAACGCCGCGUGAGUGAUGAAGGUCUUCGGAUCGUAAAACUCUGUUAUUAGGGAAGAACAAAUGUGUAAGUAACUAUGCACGUCUUGACGGUACCUAAUCAGAAAGCCACGGCUAACUACGUG
rnacentral:rRNA from 1 species